rnacentral:rRNA from 1 species
AAUCAACGCUGGCGGCGUGCCUCAGACAUGCAAGUCGAACGCGAAAGGUUCCUUCGGGAACCGAGUAGAGUGGCGCACGGGUGAGUAACACGUAGGUAAUUUGCCUUUGGGUGGGGAAUAACAGCCGGAAACGGCUGCUAAUACCGCAUAAUGCAGCGGCUCGACAUCGAGACAGUUGUUAAAGCGGGGGAUCGCAAGACCUCGCGCCUAAAGAGAAGCCUGCGGCAGAUUAGCUAGUUGGUAGGGUAAUGGCCUACCAAGGCGACGAUCUGUAACCGGCCUGAGAGGGCGGUCGGUCACACUGACACUGACAUACGGGCCAGACUCCUACGGGAGGCAGCAGUCGGGAAUUUUGGGCAAUGGGCGAAAGCCUGACCCAGCAACGCCGCGUGAAGGAU